ensembl:lncRNA
CAGAGAUUGCAGAGAGCAGCUGCAAGCCAAGGAAGGCCAAGGACCGUCAGCAGCACCAGAUGCUGGGAGGGAGGCCAGAAGGGAUUCUCCUCAGAGCCUCCAGAAGCCACCCACCUGCUGACACCUGGAGUUUGGACUUCCAGACUCCACAACAGUAUGUCCGCCUAGGUCACCUUGAUGAGUUCCAGACACUGCGGCUGGAGGAGAGUUGCACCAUCACUGAUGAGAAUGAUCAGGUCACUGGAUACAAAACAAAGAGGAACUGCCACCUGAUUGAAAAAUUGAAAAGGGGUAUUUCAUUGGCUCCUGCUCUGGUCACUCCCUAAGCAAUCCCGAAGAUUGCUCUGGAAGAAAAAGACGCCUUGGGAGUGAGUAGGGCAGCCGUGAGACAUCUGCAGGCUGGGCCGGGAAUCCCUAUGGAACAGGUACCCUGCAUCUUGUCUUCUAAAUCUUUCUACACAACUGUGUUAGUUACUCAAAUUCUUACCUCCAAUCAAAACUCCAGGAAAGAAAAUAAACUUUGGGUGCAAAUUUAGAAAAUUGUGUGUGGAUUUCUAUGAUGCAUUCUCUGUUUUUACAACAUGAGGAUAGGUGAAAGCGAAGAAUCUGAACAUUGGUUGUUACUUAAUAAGUGAUGCUGAGUUAGAUAAGAAUCAGAGGUAGAGCCUUCUCAUGAAACCUAUGAAAACCCGAUUCACAAUCUAUGAACACAGAAAUCCCUUACAUGGUAUUUACAGAUAAAAUACGACUUUUGUUUAUGAAAUCAGGGUGUAUGUGCCCCACAGAAAUACGCUUAUCAGUUACUUAUAGCACUUUUCAUAUUUCAAUUGUGUCCAUAUAAUUAUCCCAUUGGGUGCACAACAAAAUGAAUUUUCAAGGCUAUAAAACUGUGCUUUCUUUAAUUUGGUCUCCCCAGUGAAAAAUGAGUGAGUGGCACUCAGUGGAUGCACUGUAUAUAUUUUUUUAAUGAAAAAAAGAAUGAAUUUGAAUUCUCUCUCCAACGUAUUUUCCUUGUGUUUGAAUUAACACAGAUCAACUUUUGUCACAGCUUUCCAUAAAGGAUAUAAUUUUUAUGACCCGAAUUUACCACAAGAGUCCAUUGAAUAAUGUCUGGCGGGACCAUAAAAUUGGCUAUCUUCUGUUUGUGAGGAAAAACCUCAUGGUGAACCUAGACCCCAGGGGGGUCCAACAUUACUGCUACAUGACCUGGGAGGAGAUGGGGGUCCUCCUGGACAGGGCAGCCUAGGAACAGGAGGAGGUCACCCCGUGGAUUAAGACCAUCACAAAGGGCUUUCUGUUCAAGUGGUGGGGUCAUUUACUGGACGUCUCCCCAUUUGUGGAGCCUGACAAAAUUCACAAGCGAGAAGCUGUGGGAGGGGACUGUCCGAAGUAAGGGGUCACCCAACCCCAUGAUCUCAGCUCCUAUUUCAGAUUAAAACAGCACACAUGCUGAUGAAGGUGCACUACAGAAAUCUAGUCAUAAAAUUUCUUUAAUCACUUAGAUUUAGCUUAAGAAUCUCCUUCACAAUUAUACUCGAGAGCUCCCUUGUUUUCAUCCAUCUCUUAAAAUGCUUCAGCUGCUUUCUAUAGAAAACGUCAUUUUUGUCCUAAAACUUUCCCUCUAGUGGCUUCACCAUUCCCCAUUAGCUGGGUGCAGACACGAGCUCACACAGGUACGGCAGCUCUUCACGUCGCCUCUCUACUGGGUCCUUGAUCACGUGUCCUUGGAGAAUUUCAUCCUUUAGGAAGAUAUGUUGCAUGAUGAUGACAUAUAAGAAAAAAAAUUAAAUGUCUGUUAGUAUUAACUGAGGAAAUUAAUCUCAUCAAAAUACUGACUUAGACUAGAAAUAAAUGCUUGCUAGCAUAUAAACAUAUAAUCAUUUUAAAAAUAAAAUUGUUUAAUUUCCUUAAAGAGGUGAAUCUUUUUAUUGAAAUGUUAUCAUAGUUACAUAUUAACCUGUUUUUACUGCCCAUUUCACAAGAUCUAUACUCAUAAUCUUCAUUAUCAAAAAUGUAUUAAAAUGCAAAAACUUGAAUAAUAAGAAAUCUUGAAAAAGAGGUAUUGUAAUUCACUGAUUUUCUAAGUAAAUCCUAAUGAGGAAACCACUUUUACUAAGUGCUUGUUAAAUUCUUUGCCAUGUAUAAAUAUAUUUGAUCAUUUUCCUGAAAAUCAAUAAAAAUCAGAUGGAAAUUGCUUACUCCUUCUUUGAGGAUUCCCUGGUCUUUGGUCUUGGGGUCAUCAUUCAUGAAACGAAUCCACAGGGUAGAGUUUCAAGAUGGAGUUGACCGGGUUGAGUGGAUGAAUUCCAGCACUGGAAUUUCAGGAUCUCUUCUUCUCUGUUCUUUCCCUUGUUCUGCUGUAGUGUCUGGGCAAAAAAACUUUAUCCUGCUGGAAUUCACCGGAAGAACCUAGAAGUGUUUACUGGCCCAUCAUUUCUAAUAUUUCCACGCUGAUCCCAAACCUUAGUUUUUAUACCAACAACCUCCCUACACAUCUGUUGAGAAGUACCAAUUUAACAUGUCUUUCACCCUUGUGGGGAAAAGCUCUUUUUCAAAGGGACAUUAAUAAUGUUUAGAGUUUCAAAGACCAUGGUUAGUACGUUUUAGCUUCCAGCACUGUGCACAAAGCUAUUUCACACUGGUAGAAACGGGGUCAACUUUGGAUCAUUUUACUUACUGACAUGACCACAAAUGGAAGGAAACUAGAGAAGCAUAAUGGCAUGCAAAAAAAAAAAAAAAAAAUAGAGUUUCUGGUUGUGAAUGGCUUCCUCUCACACUAAACUUUAGAAAUGACAGAACAGACAGUACAAAUAAAAUCAAAUACAUCAGCAUUCUUGCAAAUGAAAGGAAUUCUCAGAGAAAAGCAAAAGAAUGAAGGAGAGGCAUCUUUGUAAAAUAUAGCUGGUACUUUUCCAACAAUAAAGACAUUCUGAAAUUGGAAGAGCCACCUAGUAUCCAGCAGGAGGAGGAGGAAAAAACCUGAAGAAAUUUACAACGAAAUUUCAGAACCUCAAUUAGAAAAGACAAAAUCCUAAGAGGAUUAAAAAACAGAAAGAUAUAAAAAC